rfam:Diaporthe ampelina DA_912_scaffold_v01_146, whole genome shotgun sequence.
GCCUUCUUGGCCAAGCGGUAAGGCGUCGCACUCGUAAUGCGAAGAUCGACGGUUCGAUUCCGUCAGGAGGCA